rnacentral:rRNA from 1 species
UACGUAGGGUCCGAGCGUUGUCCGGAAUUACUGGGCGUAAAGCGCGCGCAGGCGGCUUCCCAAGCGCCACGUGAAAGCCCCGGGCUCAACCCGGGGGGGUCGCGGCGAACUGGGAGGCUUGAGGCCGGUAGAGGUGGGUGGAACUCCUGGUGGAGUGGUGAAAUGCGUAGAGAUCAGGAAGAAUACCCGUGGCGAAGGCGGCCCACUGGGCCGGUGCUGACGCUGAGGCGCGAAGGCGUGGGGAGCGAACGGG